rnacentral:lncRNA from 7 species
AUUUCUGUUCUCUGCUGCAGGGAUCUGCAGAGCGGAAUAUUCAGCUCAGGAGCUAGGAGUUUCUGAUAAAUCACCGCAGGGAUUUACCCCAGGGUCUCUUCUACAGUGUUUCAAGUAAAGAGGAUGCUGGGAUGGAGUAUUUAGCUAACAGCGUAAUCAUGCAGUGAUGAACUGCGGAGUUCACAGCCAAAGAACUGAUCUGCAAGCAAUGCUGGAGGCCUCCCGGCAGACAGCAUGUCACGUCCACUGCCACGUGCUGUAUCCUUGAAAGCAGACUGUCACGAGGGGAGUUGGAGGUCUAGUUCAGCUUGAAAAGAUACAGCUUUGUAUGAAAUGCCAUAUGCUGCCUGACGAAGCUUUCCUUUAAGGUUGUACCUUAUGCAUUCGCGUAAGCCUGUGAAAAGGAGCAAAAACAAAUGCUUGGAUCUGGUGGAGUGACUGGUUGUUGUUCGGGUACGCUGUGACUGGAUAAAGCCACAGGGACAGUUGUAUCUCUUCUUCAGAAGACUCCAAGAGAGCAGCACGUCUGACCAGGCUUGGUUUUCAGAGAAAGGUUUGCCUGAUCCCUGUUCAUUUGCAUUGCAUCACUAUAAUUAAUCCAGUCUAACCUGUUCCAGUUCGUGGCACUCCUGCGAUGGCGAGAUCAGAAUCGGCUCCAACAUCUCUGAAGGGCUACGCCAUUUGUUCACACCGCAGUUCAACAGCUUUAAACAUCUCGUGGCAAAGCUGCGGUACAACUGCUCUAAAGCUUCACGUAUGUACAACGUGAUUCCUGGAUAGAGAUCACUUCAGCUCCACAGUUAUUAAUUCACAGGUUUCUCGCUGACCUUAGCUCAGCUCUGGGAGUGGUGCCAGAACAAUUACAGUAACUCCGAGCAGCGCAGGCAUAAAGCUCCUGUAUUUACUCUGAAAUUGUGCCAGGUUUUCUCUGGCUCGCUGAUGGAAAGAUGCAUUUCUUCUUUGAUUAGUUUCAAAUAGUUCAGCCUGGCUCGGCUGGAACAAGGUUAUUUCAGCAACAAACGGGGGAGAAAUAAGCUACCAUGCAGAGGUGUGCAUACACUAUAUGCUUGCUGUAUAGGUAACGUUAUGGAAAUGCAAGCCAAGAAGGGGGAAAGCAAGUCAAGGUGACUUAAUGCUAGUUAUCCAAGUGGCAGAGUUGGGAAUGAAAUUCAAGGGGAAUAUGCUUCACUUGGUGUUGUUUUCACUGAAUCGUGCUGUCUUCCAGGAGCACGCUGAGGCCCACCUCCUUCCUUCCUGCAAAGGUCGGGCAGCUGGAGGCAGUGACACCAGGUGAAGCUGAGCAUGCUCAUCACUUGGGAAACCCAGGCCCCUGGUGAUCUUCUCUGACGUUAAUUGACUGUCAGACCCUGCAAGAGGGGAGGCAACACCUUUCCUGAUCUGUGGUCUGGAGUAGUGUUUUCCAGACUCUGGAGUGAAUUUCACGUUGUUGCAAAGGAAACGAUGAUGCAGUCCUCCAGCAGCUGCUGUGCUCCAGCAUCCUUGCAAAGGCGGGCCUCCAGGUCUCCCCUCCAGACCUACCUUCCUAUCCCCAACAGAAACGCUGCUAAGGGUUGCCCCCAGCAAAACUGAAGCUAUCAUCCUGAAAGAGAGCGCUUGAAAAAGCAAGCUUUUAUGUGAGACUGCUGGGGGUGUGAUCUCAUUUUCCUACGUGCCAGAUCUAUGAGUCCUGUACCUCAAGUGUGGAAAGGUUCCUCAUUAGUGCAAGUGAAACGGCAAGAGCAAUGUUCUGAAUGAAUAUAUGGUGAUGAGUCUGGAAGAUCGGGCAACUGUUGUCUUUGAAUAGGCAAAUCUAAUUG